rnacentral:lncRNA from 1 species
AAGAUGAGAAGUACAGGAAAUAGAGUCAACACAGGAGAGUUACUACGGGGUUUUGUGCCACAACGAUAAAGGAGAAUCCAGGAAGAUAGCUGUGCACCAGAGGUAGAUGGUACCCAACCUAGAUUGGUGCCAUGUGAUUCCAGGGACAUAUAUGUUGAGGAUUAUUAACAGCAACAUCCCCUCUGCCACUGAGCUCUCUUGAAGUUGAGAGCAGAACUGCCAGACAACCAGCUGUGCUCUGUAUGGAAAUGGCCAACAAGAUCUCCUGGGCCACCACUGAUGUGCUGAUGAGUAAAGACAGAGACAAGGCAGCCAAACUGGAUCUGCAUCUGCUACCUGUGUCUGGUUUUGUCACUGGGGGGUACUGCAAGGUAUCAGGGUGAUAAAAGAAGCUCACACACAGGCCUGUACAGCAAGGUCUAGACCCAAAUGAGACAUCUCAGAGCAGGAGUGAUGGAUAGGCUUGCAGAGAAGAGACAGCAUCACUGGGUUGUUCUUCAUCAAAGC